rnacentral:misc_RNA from 1 species
UACGGAGGGUGCAAGCGUUAUCCGGAAUCACUGGGCGUAAAGGGCGCGUAGGCGGCCAUUUAAGUCUGAUGUUAAAGCGUGGGGCUCAACCCCAUUAUGGCGUUGGAUACUGAAUGGCUAGACGAAGGGAGAGGAAGGUAGAAUUACCAGAGUAGCGGUGGAAUGCGUCGAUACUGGUAGGAAUACCCAUUGCGAAGGCAGCCUUCUGGACAUUUUGUGACGCUGAGGCGCGAAAGUGUGGGGAGCAAACCGG